rnacentral:rRNA from 1 species
UACGUAGGCAGCGAGCGUUGUUCGGAAUUACUGGGCGUAAAGCGCGUGUAGGCGGCUAUGUAAGUCGGGCGUGAAAUCCCACGGCUCAACCGUGGAAGUGCACCCGAAACUGCGUAGCUAGAGUCCUGGAGAGGAAGGUGGAAUGCUUGGUGUAGAGGUGAAAUUCGUAGAUAUCAAGCGGAACACCGGUGGCGAAGGCGGCCUUCUGGACAGUGACUGACGCUGAGACGCGAAAGCGUGGGGAGGCAAACAGGGAUUAAGAAAACCCUGAGU